UUUCAGGUGGUAGCUGCUCCACGAGCCCAAGUCCCAGAAUAGACACAAAGGACUUGUAGCACAGGAUGAGAUGAAGUGAGGUCAAUGACAUAGACAUGACGUAACAUCAGUCUACUACUGACCUUUUCAUGAUGUGUCAGAAGGAUCAUCUGCUGCCUGACCACAGUACCACCUGCAGCAGAGGCUAAUGGAAAUGAAAGCGUGGACCAGCUGCAUGAUCCUGACCACGGGGACUCCUCCAUUUCUUCCGGGACCCUCUGGGAAUCUCCAUUUCUCCAUUUGUCUGCUGAGGAUGGUGAGGAACUUCUAUAGAGGAGAAUUAUGUUGGUGUAUAUGGCAUUGACAGGCCGGUGAAGGAGCAGCAGCUGGAACCCAGGGCUCCUGAAGAUGAAAUGAGACCAGUUCCCACUAUGCUGGGAAGCCAUCCUUCCCAUUCAGUUUUGUGGUUGGGAACGACUGGCUCCAUCUCCUGAGUCAGCGGCAUGAGCUGAUCAUCCCUCCCGGCUGCAGUUGCUUCCGAGAAUGGCACACAAUCUAAGCUGAGACAGUGAGCUUUGAGCAGAUAUUUUCUGGAAUUCCUGGAAAGAAAUGUUUUCUGCCCACUACUGGAUUUGGUCAUGUGAGGCUUGGAGUUGCAACAGACAUUUUCUAUAAGGAGAGAGACAAACUAGAGUCUGAGGACAACCCAGGAACGAGGCAGAGCUAAAUGAUGCGAGGAAACCAAGUCUGCAUGUUAUUAUCUGAGCCUCUGGAUCAAACUGCAGCUGAAGCCAGUUAAAUCCUUGGACAAUCACCUGAGUGAUCUUACUCAGAUCUUCCUCUCAAAAACAAAUAAAGAAUAAAUGCUCAGCUAAUGUCUGCAUAACAAAAGGUACCAAAGAGCUCCCUCUAAGAAUGCUAGACUCUUGCAAAGGCAAAUUUUAUUCUUCAAACCAGAUGGCAGAGACUUCCUUAUUACUCUAAAAAUGGUAGCUCUUUUGAGCUUAAGAAAAUCUUAGGACAGAGACUCUAGGAGGGAUUAUAUAAGAAGAGUUUUCACAGUGUAUUUGAUUACAUUUUCUCAAAGAUUCUUCCUAACAAUUAUUUUUGACAGGUUAUUGCAGUCCCCACAUUACAAAUGAGAACAUGGAAACCCUGUGAAAUUUAGAGAUAUGGACUAUAGACAAAGGCUCCAGAUACUAAUGGCCUGGAGCCUGUGUCCUAGUGUAGACAGUGAUUUAGCUGCAUUAGUCAGACUGAAUUUGGCUCGCACUGUUGUUAUGAAUAGUUGUUAUGAAAACACAGACUCCAGAAGCUUUUAUGUCUGGCUCGGUUUGAGAAUUUCACAUGGUAAAAAGGUAAGAUAAAAAUGUUCUUCUAAUGAGCUUUCUCAACUCUCGCAGACAGAAGGCUGGCCAGGUGUUCCCUUUAUAGAUGGCUCACUUUAGCCUCUUAAAUCAUUUCUCUAAGCACUCAGGAUUCUUUCUAAUGAGUACUUUCAGGAAUUAAACCCCGACUUCCUUUUAUGAAAGGUCCUUUGUUCCCUAUGUUUGAAUAUGGUUGAACCAUAUCUUUUUGGUGGUAUGCUUUUGGCAUCUUCAGCUAAGUUCUGGAGAAGUUGUGCCAAUAAUGCUAGACUGUAAAGCUGCAUGAAGGGAGAUGCCAUGCCCAGCUUCCUCAUUUUUAUGCCCUUACUCAGCUCAAAAUAUGACACUGAGCAUGCAUCCUAAAAGUAUUUGUUGAAGAAAUGAAUUUCCGAAAAUUGAUUAGAGACUGUGAAGCAAGAAUGAAAAUGGGGUUUAUGUAAUAUCAUCAGAGACAUUAGAGUUGAAAGGGAGUGUUGAGAAUCAGAGAUGCAAUGGGUUGUAAUAGAAAGGAAACAGAAUAAAAAAAGAAACCCAACUAGUAAAUGCCCAUCUUGGUUUGUGAUUCCCUAGUUGAGGGAUUUGGAAAGCCAAUGGACCAUUUUGAAUUUCAUUUUCUUUGUCUAUAAAAGAAAAUGGACAAUUUUCUUUGCCAAUGACAGAGUGGAUUCAUAGAGUUGUUAUGUCAGAUAGGAUGGUGUAUGUAGAAGCACUUUGCACUUUUUUGGACACUCUAUAUAGUUCUGGUACAGAAAUUAAGGAAAAGAAAUGGUAACUCUAAUGUGAGUUGAAAGAGAACAGUUGAUUUAGAAACUAAGCAAAUAGAGGGUUCUUCCUUAAUCAAUCGACUUUCAAUUAUUGGGGGAUCUGGUACAUUCAUCAAUUGAUGUCAAGUUAAAGAGCAUGUAUCUCUGAAAACUUACCAUGUUUUGCUGGGCCAGGCCACAGUGUUUCCUCUACUGACAACGAGAGUAGUAGGGGACAAUGGUGGUGGUAGCAAGACUACACUAUCCUUGGAUCUUCUUGACUGAAGAAGUUCUGCUCGGACAGUUCUCUUAAACUGAAGAAACCCCAAACAGGCUGAGUUUGAAGACCCCAGGGACACGCUGCCUCUGAGUUCUUGAGCUCAGGCACACAGUGAGAGAGAGAGAGAGGCAGAGACACAGGCAGAGGGAGAAGCAGGC